rnacentral:lncRNA from 1 species
GUGUGUGUGUGUGUGCGCAGGAACGAUCAGAAGAACAGGGGGUUCUUUCAAAACCCUAAAGCACAUGAAAUCCAGCAAAAUCAAGGAGAAAUCGAGCAAAGAAAUUAGGGCUUUAACUAAAAUCGUGAUCACCAAGCUAAGGGGAUCGGAAGUUUGACGCCUAACAAGCUAGGUGGAAGCUUGUGGAUGAAGCGGGUCAAACGGAGCGCGUACGGAAAGAAAGGCGUGGCAUGGAUGCAAGGUAAGUAUAGCUUACACUAGUCUUAUAUGUUAGGAUAUUCUCUUAUCGUAUUAGUUAUGAAUGAGAUAAAUACUUAAUUGAGGUAUGAUGUUCCGGCGUGUAAACGUACGGAACAAAGUAGUCAAUCAUGACAAGAAACCAUGUGGAUGGUUAAAAGGAGUUAAAUCGGUAAAUUGGUCAUGCGUUGACCAUAACUAUUGGUUUUGAAAGACACAGUAAAACAUAAACCAUGAUAGGCUAAAAAGUGUUAAGAAAUGAUUAAUAAGUGAAAUGACCGCACGAUGUAAACCGGAGCGAGUCAUGUAGAUGAGAUGGUAAUAAAUAUCAUCUCGUCAACAUAUUCGGUCACUUAGACCAAAUGGGUUAAAAGGUGAAGAUAUCACCCUUUGACAAUAACGACUAAUGAUUUUUGUCGAGUUAUAUUAUUUCAGGUGUAAAUGUCAAAUGGGUAUUAGCAACGCUAUGAAUUAGCGGUUAUAAAAGCAAGGUAUUAAAAACGGGUCAAUAUAUUGAUCUGCGCCAGGUAUGUGAAAAAGGGUAACCCUCAUUUAGAACAUGUGGUUCAAAGAGUGUUAAAAGUAGUCAAGGUGAACAUUUGGUUACUUGAUAAGUAAACCAAAAGUUUUAGGUAAGGAACAUUGUAUUUGGAAAGCUUAAUGACUUUUCAAAUAAAAUCAUAGGUUAAAAGAGGGAUUACGGGUCAAAAUAAGCAUACGAGUGAAAACGGGUUUAAAUUGUGUAAUAAACCUGUGAUUAUAACCUAAUAUGGUAAAUAACCUUAAUUUGAAGUAGUGUACAUGAUAUAAAGGUUAAACAAGUAUGUUUGUUUGAUAAACGUAUAAACGGGUCAAAAUUUUGGUAAAAGAGUAAUAAGCCGAAGACUUAAAAGUCUUAAAUUUUAUUAAUUCGGAUGUUGGAUUUUAACUCCAUAUGAUGGAAGAUUAAAUUACAAUCAUGUAGGAAGAAACGGUAGAUCAAACGGAUAAGCGGUUUGAAAGAUACGAAAGUUUUCGUGUCGAAUAACGGCAAAAAUAGAGAAGCUGGAUGCAGAGUCCACCGUAAUUUACGGUCCCACCGUAAAUUACGGUGGAGAUGAAUUGGUUACGGUGCUAGUUGUCUGUUGUACGGUAGAAGAAUAGAAACCCAGGGGCCACCGUAAUUUACGGUCCCACCGUAAAUUACGGUGGAGAUUAUUUUUUUUAUAUAUUUUGUUUUCAUUUGAAAAUCAAUUGUUUCCCGGACAUCGUUCGGACAUGAUUUAAACCCCGUAUGACUAAAGCAUUUCAUGUUUAUGAAAUGUAGGUACACCUUGGACGCCGGAAGACGAUCAAGCUCAGCGAAGAACCGAACACGAUAAUGUUACACGCUUCCGCACUUUGCUACGUUGUAAUUUUUAAACAACGAAUUCGAUCACGUUAUGUAGAAUAACUUAUGAUUUAUAAAAGUUUUAAUAAACCCGUAUUUCCAAAUGUUUAUGUAAUCUUAAUUACAUGAUUGUUUUACGUAAAAUUUACGUUAAACCUUGAAUUAUAAGACCGGGUGUUACAAGUUGGUAUCAGAGCCUUGGUUUAAGAGAUUCGAGUAUGGUGGGGAGGAACCAUGCUUGGACUUAAACCUUAUGCUCUUGACAAAGAAUAGUGUUCGGUUCGAGGCUUGAUCGCAAUUCCGGUAAGUACAUGUAUGCUAAAGUUUUGUAAACAACACAUAGGGUUAUCGUGUGAUACACGUUACCCCGAUUAAAAUGAUUGAUAUAGUUGACGAAAAUACGUGCGUUGACGCGUAUAGUAGAAAAAGCCUUGUAUUAUAAUGCGGGCGAUUAUUAAAGUUGACGUUACUAACUUUUGUGAAUGUUUUAAUUGAAGGACACUCGCGUUUGAAGACGACGAGAGUCAAACGAAUUGUGGAUAUAAUGAUGGAACGGUCCGAGAUAUGGCAAGGAGAGCAUAAUCAUCAAGGACCUAAAUCGCGUAACGAUUGCAAAUAAGUAACGGCAAGAAAGCCCUUUAAGGCAAGCAAUAUCAGUGUGUGUGUGUGUGCGCAGGAACGAUCAGAAGAACAGGGGGUUCUUUCAAAACCCUAAAGCACAUGAAAUCCAGCAAAAUCAAGGAGAAAUCGAGCAAAGAAAUUAGGGCUUUAACUAAAAUCGUGAUCACCAAGCUAAGGGGAUCGGAAGUUUGACGCCUAACAAGCUAGGUGGAAGCUUGUGGAUGAAGCGGGUCAAACGGAGCGCGUACGGAAAGAAAGGCGUGGCAUGGAUGCAAGGUAAGUAUAGCUUACACUAGUCUUAUAUGUUAGGAUAUUCUCUUAUCGUAUUAGUUAUGAAUGAGAUAAAUACUUAAUUGAGGUAUGAUGUUCCGGCGUGUAAACGUACGGAACAAAGUAGUCAAUCAUGACAAGAAACCAUGUGGAUGGUUAAAAGGAGUUAAAUCGGUAAAUUGGUCAUGCGUUGACCAUAACUAUUGGUUUUGAAAGACACAGUAAAACAUAAACCAUGAUAGGCUAAAAAGUGUUAAGAAAUGAUUAAUAAGUGAAAUGACCGCACGAUGUAAACCGGAGCGAGUCAUGUAGAUGAGAUGGUAAUAAAUAUCAUCUCGUCAACAUAUUCGGUCACUUAGACCAAAUGGGUUAAAAGGUGAAGAUAUCACCCUUUGACAAUAACGACUAAUGAUUUUUGUCGAGUUAUAUUAUUUCAGGUGUAAAUGUCAAAUGGGUAUUAGCAACGCUAUGAAUUAGCGGUUAUAAAAGCAAGGUACACCUUGGACGCCGGAAGACGAUCAAGCUCAGCGAAGAACCGAACACGAUAAUGUUACACGCUUCCGCACUUUGCUACGUUGUAAUUUUUAAACAACGAAUUCGAUCACGUUAUGUAGAAUAACUUAUGAUUUAUAAAAGUUUUAAUA